GGCGCCAUAGCCAAGUGGUAACGCAGAGGUCUGCAAAACCUUUAUUCCCCAGUACGAAUCUGGGUGGCGCCUCCA
rnacentral:tRNA from 1 species